rnacentral:rRNA from 1 species
UACAGAGGGGGCAAGCGUUGUUCGGAAUUACUGGGCGUAAAGGGCGCGUAGGCGGCCCGCUAAGUCGAACGUGAAAUCCCCAGGCUUAACCUGGGAACUGCGUCCGAUACUGGUGGGCUUGAAUUCGGGAGAGGGAUGUGGAAUUCCAGGUGUAGCGGUGAAAUGCGUAGAUAUCUGGAGGAACACCGGUGGCGAAGGCGGCAUCCUGGACCGAUAUUGACGCUGAGGCGCGAAAGCUAGGGUAGCAAACGGG